CGAACGCUGGCGGCGUGCUUAACACAUGCAAGUCGAACGGAAAGGCCCUGCUUUUGUGGGGUGCUCGAGUGGCGAACGGGUGAGUAACACGUGAGUAACCUGCCCUUGACUUUGGGAUAACUUCAGGAAACUGGGGCUAAUACCGGAUAGGAGCUCCUGCUGCAUGGUGGGGGUUGGAAAGUUUCGGCGGUUGGGGAUGGACUCGCGGCUUAUCAGCUUGUUGGUGGGGUAGUGGCUUACCAAGGCCUUGACGGGUAGCCGGCCUGAGAGGGUGACCGGCCACAUUGGGACUGAGAUACGGCCCAGACUCCUACGGGAGGCAGCAGUGGGGAAUAUUGCACAAUGGGCGGAAGCCUGAUGCAGCAACGCCGCGUGCGGGAUGAAGGCCUUCGGGUUGUAAACCGCUUUCGCCUGUGACGAAGCGUGAGUGACGGUAAUGGGUAAAGAAGCACCGGCUAACUACGUG
rnacentral:rRNA from 1 species